AUACGUAGGUGGCAAGCGUUGUCCGGAAUUACUGGGUGUAAAGGGAGCGCAGGCGGGCGUGCAAGUCAGCUGUGAAAUCCAUGGGCUUAACCCGUGGGCUGCAGUUGAAACUGUAUGUCUUGAGUGAAGUAGAGGUAGGCGGAAUUCCGAGUGUAGCGGUCAAAUGCGUAGAUAUUCGGAGGAACACCGGUGGCGAAGGCGGCCUACUGGGCUUUAACUGACGCUGAGGCUCGAAAGUGUGGGGAGCAAACAGGAUUAGAUACCCUGGUAGUCCACACUGUAAACGAUGAUUGCUAGGUGUGGGGGGUCUGACCCCUUCCGUGCCGCAGUUAACGCAAUAAGCAAUCCACCUGGGGAGUACGGCCGCAAGGCUAAAACUCAAAUGAAUUGACGGGG
rnacentral:rRNA from 1 species